UUUGCCAGAUUUUUGAGGCAGAGUGCUUGGAAAGGUAAUACACCAAAGUAAACCCGUGAAACAUCCAGAAACCUUACGUUUGUGGAUGUAUGUAGGAACUGGUGGAAGUUUCCAGGAAUCCUUACAGCUGGUUGUGAGGAGCGGUGGGUGUGAGGUGUGAACGGCUUUUUAUAUGUUAAUGACCCACAGGUAGAGGUGUCUUCUUUGUUUUCAGAGCUGAGUGGGGUGGGGUGGGGGGUUAACCAUGUCUCUUUAAGACAGCACAUACAGUAUUGUGGUACAUAAAAACUGUGUUUUGUAAAUAUGUUUAUUAUUAAUAUAAUUUAAUUAGUCUAUUUAAGAAACUAAGCAUCAUUCAAAAUAACUAAAAUUCAAUGGACACAAUUACCAUUUUAAUGUGUGAAAAUUAUGUCUCUGACUCAAGAGAAAUGCAACAAAUGUUAUUUCAGAAUAUAUAUUUCCAACACUUUGAAAACAUGUCUCCAACUGCCCUAGGUCAGAAUAUUGUGAACGUAUCUCUCAAUGCUGCAUACAUCGUUUAAAGGAAGCCGUUCAAAUGACAUCAUGUAACUCAUUUUUGCUAGCUAGGAUGUUGAUAAAUUAGUCAGUGAAAUGUAAAGCUGCUUAUUUUUGCUGAUGUCUCAUGAUUUGAAGUUCACUGUUUCUAUUGUUAUUAUAAUUCUACCCUAACAUUUCAUUAAAUCUUUUAAAAUAGAAACAAAAAUAUCAAUAGACAGGUCUAUAAUCUAAAAGACAGUCUUUCACAUGUGGAUGCAAAACAUGUUGGGUGAAACAGACUGACAAACUCGGGUAAACAUAUCUGCAGAUACCUGUCAGCUACUGUACUUCUAGUCCAGAGGUGCCCAAAGUUGGCCCACAAAAGACCUUAAAUUUUUUUAUGUUUCAUGCAUACUUGAAGGUGUAUAAAAUGCAUCACAAAACCUAAUGAACUCGGGUACUAUAGGCUAAAAAUGAAGAGGUUGCGGCAGUGGCACACAGAGAAAAGGAUAUUUAAAAUUGAUUGGCAAAACGAUUUCUUUUUCCUACAAACAGCCUUGGAAAAUAAAACUGCAUUAGUUAUGCAUAAACAGAGUAAUGUUUGCUUAUUUAUUUUUAAAAUAUUAGAAAAUUAUAAAUUAGGGGUUAUCAGGGCAACUUUAAUUUUAAUAUAACACAACAACAUUUACUUUUGGCCCACGGCCCUCAGUCAGGUUUGGCCCUUGUAAGGAAAACGUUCGGGCAACAAUGAAUGUUCUAGUCUAUCUGAGGAGGUAACUUUUAGCAUAUGAUAAUGCAUGCUUGCACAAAGUCAGACCACAUAUUAUAAUGUUUGUCUUCAAUCAAUCAAUUUAAACAAAAGAGAUGGGGACUUUAUAAUAUAAUAAGGGUCCAUAUAUCACAGUGAAAAAAGACAUACAUGUAUUUUUACUUUAACAUGAACUAAUGCUGAGUUACAGCAUAUCCUAAUAAUAAACUAUUGAAGAGUCAUCAUUAACUACGACAUGUUUUUCAUUGUUAGUUAAUGCAGUCAUUUACAAUAAAUUAAUUUGAGUUCAUGUUGUAGUUAAGUAAGUUCAGUAAGUUACAUGUCUUAACUCAGCAUUAGUUUAUAUUUACUAAUAUUUAAGUAAGAAUUCAUUUAGGUAUACGUUCAAUGUUUCCAAUGAUGAGCAGUUAAUCCACUAAACCCAGAGAUAAUUCCUGAGGCAUGUUUAAAGAGUUUUGUAUUUCAUCAAGAAGGUGCUGCUGAUUCACAAAGAUUUUAUAUUUAAGAAAAUCUGAGCAUCAUUCCAAAUAACUGUUAACAUGUUUGUCAACUAAACAUGUUUUGUAAACGUAAUAAACUUUAUAAAAAUAUUUUUUAUUUUUUAUUAAUAAUCAAGUAUAAAGAACAAUGCAUAGUGUGAAAACGCGGAUUAUAAAAAGUAUAUUAAAGAAAAGGACUACAUUUCCCAGAAUGCACCUGCACCUACUCAUCUGCCCCCACCCUUCAGGUGCGACUGCUCAACCUAUGGGCUUGACGGGAAAAUUCAAAAUCGCGAACCGUUACUGCCUGGACUACUCCGUCUCUUGUUUGUUUGUUUGCUCAUUAACAGUAAGAGGUCAUGUACACUGUGGUCAACUUUGUGGACGAUGAAGAGGUUUCUGGGUAAAGAUGAUAGAAAUAUAAUGAAGUAACAGUGAAAGCUAAAACAUCAGACUGAUCCAGACACUGAAGAAAUUGAUGUCACUGCAAUCUGGCCAAAAUGAUACAACUAUAUUGAAGUAACCUACUGUAAUGAAGCUGCAGAACAACACAGAGACUCUGAGGACAUCAACACAGAAAAUGAAGGCUCCAAAGAGAUGUCUGUCCAGAUGAGGGUGCAUCAACGUUACCUUUGCUGACAAGUAUAUGCUUUACAAUGUAAAACCUAACAGUUAACUUAACUCAAACCAUUUAAGGAAAUCGGUUGCCUUAACCCAUU